ensembl:lncRNA
AUACAAAUUAAUGGCUCGAAAUAGACAAGAUAUUAUUGUUUUAUCUUUGCAGAGAAAGGCAAACAUGCUUAGAAAGCCUGCACAACAAAUUUACCUUUAAAGUGGCAAGCACCAGGGAUUUCAAUUUUAACAAUUUGUUUCAUGGUCUCAGUGGAAACUUAGGCAGAAGAGUACUUAUUAGUCAGAGAAUAUUUAUUCCGGUUUUCCAUAUGGCUAACAGUGGUGGGCCAACAGUGGAUACAAAAAUAAUAUUUGCCUGAUAAACAACAAUUGGGCCUUGUUUAGAAUUUUAUUUUUAUAUUAUAGAAUCUUACAUAGAAAUUAAGGGAAACUACUUCUAAUAACUGAGUAUCACGGCAUUUCCACAACCGAUAAAGCAGAAAUCAAUGCUUUUAGAUUUCUCUUUGGGUUUAAGCAACGAUCUACUUCAACUAGAAUUUUAUAUGUCAUUUAGUCAAUUACUGUUUUACAAUCCUAAAUUCUCGAACUGAAGUAAUCAGUGGCUUUUCUUGGCAAGAUGCCUACAUAUGUAACAUGAACUUCCAGUCUAAUGUCACAUAAGCCCUUGGCAGUUAUCUGUGUUCUGUGAAGUCAGCAAGUAUGGAACUGCCAAAACCCUAUUUCCCUCCAAGGAAACAAUGUAACCACCCCACAGCCAGACAUUGGUGUCAAUGCUCGGGUUUAGAAGGAAGGUCAGCACUAGAUUAGCUGACAUCUGUGGAAGCAACAACAGCUCCUUCUUUCAAUCUCUUCAAACGCAGCAUCUCUAGUUUUGUACAGAGCAUCUGUAAUGACAAGUACUGCUGGUAACACUUGAACACCUCUGGCUGCUGAGAGAAGCAGUAUGAAUUUGACUAUCAAAUGAGUUUCCAACCAGGGUCCUCAAUGAACCAAGAACCGACAUAAGAGAAUUGGGAGACAGAGGCUCUACUCACUAAAGACCGCUUUUCUUGCCUCAUAAGACAAGAGGAAUUGCUGACAAUUCACACACGAAGCCUGUUCAAACGAGAUGAAGAGAAGCAAUGAAAAUAUACAGUGGACCCUUGACCAACCCACAUGAACUGCCAGGAUCCACUGAUAGGCAAAUUUCGUUCACUAAAUAUAUACGACAGUACUACAGGACACGGCGGAAUCGAGGGAUGUGCAACAGCAGAUACGGAAAUGCCGACUAUAAAAUGACACAGGGAUAAUCAACUGUGCAGGAUGGUGCUCCAACCCCCAUGUUGUUCAAAAGGCAACAUACUGCUUCUAUGUGCAAGACAUCAUUGCCGAAUUUACUUCCUCCCUUACUCACUUUGCACAAAAACAUCACUGCAUCCGUCGACUGAAGAAUGGCUAGACAACAUGGUAUAUCCACACAAGAGAGUAUAAUCUGACAAUAAAAACAAACAAUCUACUGAUACAUGUCAUAACAUGGAUGAAACCUUGAAGAUAUUAUGCUAAUACGUGAAGGGAGACACUAAGCGGGAUAUACUGUAAGAUUCCAUUUACACAUCCUGCGGAGGACAGGCAAAUCCACAGAAACAGAAAGUAGAUUAGUAGUUGCCUAGAGCUGGGCAAAUUAGGGGAGGGAAUGGGAAGUGACUCCUAUCGGUUUCUUUGUGGGGUGACAAAAUGUUCUAAACCUGAUUGUCGUGCCAGCUGCCUAACCGUGAAUAUACUAAAGCCACUCUACACAUUAAGUUGCUGAAUUUUAUGGUAUGUGAAAUAUAUAUCAUAAAGAUAUCUCUAAAAACUGUGAAACAGGCAUCAUUAACGUUAUUUUUAGACAAGGGAAACAAAUUUCAGAAACAGGAGAGCAGAGACUUAGAAAACCAGGUAAGCUGACUUCAAAUACCAAGUUUUUGAACUAUACUCUAUUGCUUUUCCAAAUACUCAGGAUGCUGAAAAAAGGGUACAGGUCUAAAAUCCAUGGGACCCUUUCAUCAAAGUAGAUGGCUUUGCAGUCAUCAAACUUCCCCCAUGACCACCAUGUCUAUUCUCUUCAGUAUCUACUUCCACUUGGAUAUCAUGAAAUCUCAUCUGUAAGAAUGAGAACAGAGCAUGGUCACAGACUUUAACAAAAGAAAUGCCUCCGUACAAAAAGUUUCACCAAACAAAACAGUGCCUUUCUAAAUACUCAACUCAGAAAAUCUAAAAAGCUACCAAAAGAGUUUUUCCCAAGCGAUUAAAAGGGGGAGGAGCAACAUGAACAAAGUGGGUGAGCAUCUCAUUCAGGUCAGCAGCCCCCAGUUCCCUCUUUCUGUAACUCAGGUACUUACCCAAAACUCAAAGACAAUGUACCCCGCCCACGUGAUUUUUAAAAUACUAUAGCCUAAACACAAACCCCUUCUAUAGUCUUUGACAUAGAAAAAAAAAUUUUUUUUAAAUAAUGCACAUGAGUCCAAUCACAGAAACAGCCCACCUGAAAGAAGUCCUGAAUAUACUCCAGUGGUCGGGAUCUAAGAACACACCACCUUUCUUUUUCUUUCUUACUGGUGGCAUAUCAAAGUCUACGGGUCAAACCAAAGCUGCAGCUGCCAGCCUAUGCCACAACUGCAGCCACACCAGAUCCGUCUGAGCUGCAUCUGUGACCUACACCACAGCUGGCAGCAAAGCCAGAUCCAUAACCCACUGAGCGAGGCCAGGGAUGGAACCGGCAUCCUCGGGGACACUAGGUCGGGUUCUUAACCCACUAAGCCACAAUGGGAAUGCCCACGCCACCUUUUUCAAUUUGCCUGAACCUGACCCCAAGCAGAUAUGUAAAGUUGAGUUUUGUCACUCAGAACAACAACAACAACAAAAAGCAUGUUUUAAAAGACUAGUCUAUAGACUUUCUAGUAAUUACAGCUCAAUGAAGGAAUUAUUCUUAGAGAGUUGAGGUCAACAUUUCAAGUCAAUUUCAAUUCCAUGCCAUCUCUGUGGAAGAACUGUUACAGGGGGCAUGCUCUUCCCCAGACAUCACAGUCUGGUUUUGAUACUCACACUUCCAACCAACCACCUCCAGUGUUCUUCACUUGAGUUAUCUGAGCCUUCAUUUUUAAUCUAUAAAACUACAUGAGCCGGAGAACCCCUGACUCCUUUGUCCAGGAUGAGAUGCUUACCCAUUCCAAAAAAAAACCCAAGUAUGCAAAACAGCUGUCACUCAGCACCUUCACAUCACCAGGUCACUCAUUCUGACAGAGGAGUCAUACGUUUCUCCCUCAGGGAGUACCACCCAUUACUUUACUUACUGAAACCUUCCUCAAAAUAACAUGUGCCUUGUCAUUUUCCCUCUAAGAAUGAGUGUGUGUACCUAUAGGUUAAUCUACCUAUAUACUUCCUCACUCUUCGGGGCUCUUUUGAUUGUUGUCUCUCCACUUGGUCUCUUACAUGCUGUUUCGUCCAUUCCCGCUGCUAUAACAGAAUACCACAGACUGCAUAGCUUAUAAACAACAAGCACUGAUGAUUUCUCACAGUUCUGAAGGCUGGGAAGUUCAAGAUCAAGGUGCCAGCAAGACUGCAUUUUGGGGAGGGCCUUCUUCUAGGCCGCAGGCUUCUUGGUGCAUUCCCACAUGCCGGAAGGGGCCAAGGGAUCUCUUCAGAGCUUCUUUCAUAAGGCAGGUAUCCUACACACGAGGGUUCCAUUCAUGACUUAAGCACCUCUCAAAGUCUGCCACCUACUAACCCUACACCUUUGGGGUUAGGAUUUCAUCGUACGAAUUCUGAAAAGAGCUUACCUAUUUUUUCUUGAUAAAUGGACAGUUUGUUCUCUUUCAAACCCAUAAUUAAAAUCCUCCCAUGCAGUUGGUGUUCAGACAAUAAAAAUGACACAUGAAUUGAAAAUCCUGAUCCCUAAGGAAAGAUGAUAACUUAAAGAGAAAUGUUUACUGUAACAGGAAUCAGUAUUACUGGUAUUUAAUAAAUGGCUAUGACAGAAAAAUACACAUACUAAUACUUCCUACAUGGCAUAAAAACUGGUUGUAGGCAUUUUAGAAUAAUAGUAAAUUCGCCAAUGUACCUCCCAACCACAUAAUGAUUUUGAGGCUACACAACUCUGCCUUUGAAAAUAAACUGUUAUAAGAAGAUGUGAGAGAGAGACCAAGAGUCCUUCAUUCAGGCUGAGAGAUGAAGAUACACUUGAAAAUAAUGAAAGCUGGUUUCUACAGAAACCCUAUGAUGCGUUAGGCACUGUUCUAAGGACAACACACAUAAGAGCCAAGUUAAUCUUUACUAGGAGCCUGGAGUGCAUUAUUCUCAGUUAACAGAUAAGGUAACUUCCAGACAUCCUUACCUUUCCAUCUGUAAGCACAUCAAAAGUUCAUGCAUAUGUUCAUGCAGUACAUGUGUGCUCUGUGUGAAGACACACAUAUGAAACACAGAACACAUCAAUGUGACUGUACACUGUGUGUGUAUAUAUGUACACGCAUGUGUGGGUACAUAUAUACACACACAGUCCCCAUUUAAAGGUUGCGAUUUUAAAGAUUUUUCAAUCAGUGCACUUGAUAACCACAUCCUUCUAGUCAGUAAAUACAGAAAAAUAAUUCUAGUGUUGGCUUUCCACUGGCAAGUACAUUAGAAGAUUAAAUUGUUGACAUAUGCAAACUGAUUUUCACAGCUCCAACUGACUGACAACUUUAGACACAAGUCACGUAAUGAUUUUGUUGUGACUCCUGUCAUACAGAAAUUCAUACAAAUCACGCAGAAAUCACUGGUCGAAAUAUGUUAUACUUGCCACUGCCGAAAUGACUUGCUACCACAAUUCAGCUUACUUACUGCUGGAAUCGCAGCCCAGGGGGUUGCAGUGGGUGGCGUGACAAAGCCCUUUCUGCUGGCAGGGGUUCAGCAUCCCAGCCAAGCCCUUGCAGGUGCCAGAGAGUCUUCCUCAAACAUGGAAAUAAUAAUUUACUAGUGGAUUUUCUUUAUAAUAGAAAAAUCUUACCAUUGAUGCAAGACAAGUAUAUUUAGUGUCCCUAUAAUUUCAACUUAAUUAUGAUGAUAGCAGCUCUUUUUAAAAAGAAAAACAGCCCAUAAAUUUCUCCCAGGACAACCAACUACUAUAAAACCUGGGUGAAAACCUGGCACAAAGCAAAAUCAAAUGUGCAUAAAUGGUAGCAUGACAAGCCUGUUUUAUAUAGCUAUUGCUGAUGUUUAUAAGAUAAAAUUUUCAUUCAUUUACCCAAAUACAAUUAUUUUGAAUGCCUGCUCUGUGUCAGCUGCACCGAGUGUUGCUUUAGGUGCUGGAGAGAUAGCAGAGAACUAAGAUCUGUUCUCACGCCCAGUGUUCCAGUGUGAGCGGCAGACCAUAAGCAGACACAGAAAACAUCUGAAGACACUGAUUUGAGGAAACUAGAAUAAAGGAUCAGAGUUAGAGAUGCGUUCUGAAAAGUAUGAAGCACAAAAUGAUUAUAAGGUACAAAUUUUCUAUGUGUUCUUAUCAACAUGAGUUUUUCAAGUCCCUAAUGAAAGUUAUUCCACACUGCCUGUUUGCCUUUCUCUAAAUGCCUAAUCCUGUCCCG